UACAGAGGUCCCGAGCGUUAGGCGGAAUUACUGGGCUUAAAGCGUGUGUAGGCGGCUUGGUAAGUACAUUGUGAAAUCCCACGGCUUAACCGUGGAACUGCUUGGUAUACUGCUUAUCUUGGGCCACUUAGGGGUUACCGGAACAAACGGUGGAGCGGUGAAAUGCGUAGAUAUCGUUUGGAACGCCAAUGGUGAAAACAGGUAACUGGGAGUGUGCCGACGCUGAGACACGAAAGCCAGGGGAGCGAACGGG
rnacentral:rRNA from 1 species